rnacentral:lncRNA from 1 species
UAAGACUGAGAGGGCCUGCAGGAGGCAGAACAGCACUGAGGAGCCUGACGGGCCAGACGGAUUACCAGGACGUGGACCAACUGGCAAGUGUCUUCACUGACAUGUUCAACCUCUCCCUGUCUGAGUCUGUAAUACCAACAUGUUUCAAGCAGACCACUAUAGUCCCUGGGCCCAAGAACACGAAGAUCCACAGAUGAUGCAAUCUCCAUUGCACUCCACACUGCCCUUUCACACCUGGACUAGAGGAACACCUAUGUGAGAAAGCUAUUCAUUGACUACAGCUCAGCGUUCAACACCAUAGUACCCUCAAAGCUCAUCACUAAGCUAAGGACCCUGGGACUAAACACCUCCCUCUGCAACUGGAUCCUGGACUUCCUGACGGGCCGCCCCCAGGUGGUGAGGGUAGGUAACAACACAUCCGCCAUGCUGAUCUUCAACACGGGGGCCCCUCAGGGGUGCGUGCUCAGUCCCCUCCUGUACUCCCUGUUCACCCACGACUGCAUGGCCAGGCACGACUCCAACACCAUCAUUAAGUUUGCUGAUGACACAACAGUCGUAGGCCUGAUCACCGACAAUGACGAGACAGCCUAUAGGGAGGGGGUCAGAGACCUGGCCAUGUGGUGCCAGGACAAAAAACUCUCCCUCAAUGUGAUCAAGACAAAAAGAUGAUUGUGGACUACAGGAAAAAGAGGACCGAGCACGCCCCCAUUCUCAUCAACGGGGCUGCAGUGGAGCGGGUUGAGAGCUUCAAGUUCCUUGGUGUCCACAUCACCAACAAACUAACAUGGUCCAAGCACCCCACGACAGUCGUGAAGAGGGCACGACAAAACCGAAUGCUCCUCAGGAGACUGAAAAGAUUUGGCAUGGGUCCUCAGAUCCUCAAAAGGUUCUACAGCUGCACCAUCGAGAGCAUCCUGACUGGUUGCAUCACUGCCUGGUAUGGCAACUGCUCGGCCUCCGACCGCAAAGCACUACAGAGGGUAGUGCGAACGGACCAGUACAUCACUGGGGUCAAGCUGCCUGCCAUCCAGGACCUCUAUACCAGGCGGUGUCAGAGGAAGGCCCUAAAAAUUGUCAAAGAC